rnacentral:rRNA from 1 species
UACGGAGGGAGCUAGCGUUGUUCGGAAUUACUGGGCGUAAAGCGCACGUAGGCGGCUUUUUAAGUCAGGGGUGAAAUCCCAGGGCUCAACCCCGGAACUGCCCUUGAAACUGGAGAGCUAGAAUCUUGGAGAGGCGAGUGGAAUUCCGAGUGUAGAGGUGAAAUUCGUAGAUAUUCGGAAGAACACCAGUGGCGAAGGCGACUCGCUGGACAAGUAUUGACGCUGAGGUGCGAAAGCGUGGGGAGCAAACAGG